rnacentral:snoRNA from 1 species
CUGAGCGUGAAGCUGGCUCUUGGUGUUGCUUUGCUGCAGCUGCCGUUUGCCAUUGAUGAUCGUUCUCAUUCUCUCUUCGGAGUGAGUGAGGGGGAAGGAACGCAGUCUGAGUGGU